rnacentral:lncRNA from 1 species
GUCGAUUGCCCUGAAAAGUCGAUUGGGUUGACUGUGAGCCCGAGCAAAACAAUCGGUGUAGAUUUUGGUUGAUUUUCUGAGAAAAUCAAUUGGGUUGAUUAUGAUCCCAUGUAAAACAAUCAGACUAUAAUCUUAGAUAAAUUAUAGUAAAAUUCUCAAGAAAAAAGUUUUGGAGAGUAAACGUAGGUACAGAGUUGGCACCAAACUACUAUAAAUCUUAUAUGUUUGUAUUGCUUGUGUUGCGUGCAUUUAUUUCUUACAUAUCUACUUAUUAUUCUCUUGUUGAAAUUAAUAUUCAUCUAUUAAGUUUUAAUUUUCUUGUAUUAUUUAGCUAAAGUUUAUGAAAAAUCCAAUUCAUCCUCCCUCUUGGGCUGCAUAGUUGGGCAAUAGAGCCUCUUAGAUAGCCACUCUGAUAUUGAUCUAAUGUUUGAUAUUGGGCUAGCCACCCCAUUUGAGAGAAGAUCGCGACAGGUGUCACUCUACCCAUAACUCUGCAUUCACCCUAGCCUCCUUUGCUAUGAAACUAUCCAAUUAAGGAGGCAAUUUUGCUUCGUCAGGCUUUGACUGCUACUGCUAUCCUUCAAGCUAACCACCAUUGGAUCCUCAUCAUAUAAAAAAUCAUUAUGAAGUGGAUUAUCAUACUUCAGCUCUACCUCCCCUUGCACUCACUUCAGGCUAAGCUUUAGAUUAUAGUGCACAUAUUGAGCUAUUCAAUCAUUUCUAUGUCAGGCGGUUUCACCAUAUGCUAUAGAUUAGGAUGAAGUUUGAUUAGUUGCACUCACAACAGUUGAUAAAGACUUGUUUGUGAGAGUAUCUGAAUUGCUAACUUUCUGAGAAGAAAAGCAUAU